AUGUCCUUGUGCUCCGCGUCGAAGCUGAGCUUGAACACCUCGCGCGCGUCCUCCGUGGUCCGCCGCCUGCCGGCGCCCCCAUCGUGCUUCCUGCUUAGGCGCCACGUGACCUUUGCCCCGUCGAACACGUCGACGACCGCCGUGCCGGGGCGGAGGGCGAGCAGGACGUGCUCCGCACCGGCCCCGCGCGGCAGGCUGGCCUUCAUCAGCGGCACGGACGGUGCCGCGGCGAGGAGCGUGGAAACGUACGCCUUGGCCGCCAAGAAGACGCGGUUGUGCAGGGCGCCGUCGAACUCCUCGAUGAGCACGGCGUGGCGCCGGGCGGAGGCUGGCGGCAGGAGGAGCAGCGCGCCGAGGGCCGUGCCUGGGAGGACGUCGGCGAGCACCCGGCGCAGCAGCAUGGCCGCGCCCAGCACGGAAGUUGCCGUCGUGACGGCGCUCUUGUACCGUUCCAGCGCUCUGCUGUUGGGGGAUGUCAUGGCCAUGGCCGGCUCCAACUAA
rnacentral:rRNA from 1 species